rnacentral:rRNA from 1 species
ACGCUGGCGGCAGGCUUACACAUGCAAGUCGAACGCCCCGCAAGGGGAGUGGCAGACGGGUGAGUAACGCGUGGGAACAUACCCUUUCCUGCGGAAUAGCUCCGGGAAACUGGAAUUAAUACCGCAUACGCCCUACGGGGGAAAGAUUUAUCGGGGAAGGAUUGGCCCGCGUUGGAUUAGCUAGUUGGUGGGGUAAAGGCCUACCAAGGCGACGAUCCAUAGCUGGUCUGAGAGGAUGAUCAGCCACAUUGGGACUGAGACACGGCCCAAACUCCUACGGGAGGCAGCAGUGGGGAAUAUUGGACAAUGGGCGCAAGCCUGAUCCAGCCAUGCCGCGUGAGUGAUGAAGGCCUUAGGGUUGUAAAGCUCUUUCACCGGAGAAGAUAAUGACGGUAUCCGGAGAAGAAGCCCCGGCU